GGCAAACGGGUGAGUAACGCGUAGGUGACCUACCUUCGAGUGGGGGAUAACCUUCCGAAAGGAGGGCUAAUACCGCAUGACAUUCCGUGUUUGGAUACACGGCAAUCAAAGCCGGGGAUCGCAAGACCUGGCGCUUGAAGAGGGACCUGCGUCCGAUUAGCUAGUUGGUGAGGUAACGGCUCACCAAGGCUUCGAUCGGUAUCCGGCCUGAGAGGGCGGACGGACACACUGGGACUGAGACACGGCCCAGACUCCUACGGGAGGCAGCAGUGGGGAAUUGUUCGCAAUGGGCGCAAGCCUGACGACGCAACGCCGCGUGGAGGAUGAAGACCUUCGGGUCGUAAACUCCUUUCGACCGAGAUGAAUUCUCGCCGGCCUAACAUUCCGGCGAGGUGACAGUAUCGAGGGAAGCAGCCCCGGCUAACUCCGUGCCAGCAGCCGCGGUAAUACGGGGGGGGCAAGCGUUGUUCGGAAUUACUGGGCGUA
rnacentral:rRNA from 1 species